UUUUGUAUUUUCUUCCUUCUCAUUUUUUCUUGUUCCUUCCUUCCAUUUUUUUUCACUUGCUUAUGGAGUUUCGUUUAUGGUGAGUUCUCUCGCGCCUGUUCUUCAUCUCUCUAGCUCCUUAUUCGACAUUCUCUCACAUUUGUUUUCUUUUUGAAUCGGAUGACUUUCUAUGAUGAUAGGGUGUAGCUCACAAAAGCAUCGCGUGUUGCUUGUUGACGAUUGGAGAAGACGAAGUAGUGGUACUAAAGACCGAGGCAGUUGGAGAGGAUUUCGAUGCAACUGGUGAUGUCGAGGUAGUCGUAUUGUGAUGGGAAGGGUUCCGACAAAAGGCAUAAGGGUUGGUAGACUUGCUGCUGCGACAGAGGCAACGAGUGAUGCUUCUUGAAGGAAGAAGGGUUGCUUAAUUUUCAAGAUGAAGCAUCAAUUGAAUUAUGGUGAAGAUGAUUGUCCUAUUACUGCCCUCGAUGAAGCAACCAUUGCAUAGGAAAUCUAUUGACACAUUAGGCCAGAGAACUUCUUGGUAUAGAGAUGGUUAUGAUAUGGAAGAGAAAGCUGUAAGAGCAUAUGAUCUUGUAGAUCUUAAGUAUUUACAAAGGAGUACAGAGGAGAGGAGUACAGAGGAGUGACAAGGAACCUUGACAAGCGCAAGUGGCUGUUGAUUGCGAUGGAUGUGGCCUUUGGCAUGGAGUACUUGCAUGGAAAAAAUAUAGUACACUUUGACCUGAAAAGUGACAACUUGCUCGUGAAUCUCCGAGAUCCACACCGUCCAAUAUGCAAGGUUGGUGACUUGGGUCUGUCCAAAGUAAAAUGCCAGACUUUAAUAUCUGGCGGAGUUAGAGGAACUCUACCUUGGAUGGCCCCAUAACUGCUGAAUGGGAGCAAUAGUCUUGUAUCAGAGAAGGUGGAUUUGACACCUUAUGUGGAGAAGCAUGAGUUCUGUUUUGAUGUUGUUCUUCAUGAGAAUGUUACCAAUGACGAACUAUGAAGAGUACAUAAAGAUAAAAAGGUUAGAGAUCUUGGAAUGCAUAUCUUUAUGUGAAAGAUUUAUCUUUUAAUUUUCCCUAUUAAAUCAUUGGAGUACUGUGGGCAUGGACCAAUUCAACUGAGAUAGAACUACAAUUAUGGAGCAGCAGAGGAAAGCAUUGGUAAAUGGUAAGUUGAAUGUGAUGGAGGAAACCUUGAUAUUGUUCACGCUCGUGUUGAUUACUACACACAAUACUAUUCAAAGCUUGGAGUUGCUCCUGGUGAUAACUUCACUUGCUAAGCCAUCUUAGUUACUCAAUGCAUCAAGGAUAUCUUACUGGGAUGGGUUGCUCAUAAAGUUGGGUUACAUGUUGAAAAAUAUCCCUUUUGUGAACAAGAUUCAAGAGUCUAGCCAGGGAAUUCUUUUUUCAACA